rnacentral:rRNA from 1 species
AUUGAACGCUGGCGGCAGGCCUAACACAUGCAAGUCGAACGAGUGGCGGACGGGUGAGUAAUGUCUGGGAAACUGCCUGAUGGAGGGGGAUAACUACUGGAAACGGUAGCUAAUACCGCAUACCAUCGGAUGUGCCCAGAUGGGAUUAGCUAGGAGGUGGGGGAACGGCUCACCUAGGCGACGAUCCCUAGCUGGUCUGAGAGGAUGACCAGCUAGCCGGGAACUGAGACAGGGUCCAGACACCUACGGGAGGAAGCAGUGGGGAAUAUUGCACAAUGGGGGAAAGCCUGAUACAGCCAUGCCGCGUGUAUGAAGAAGGCGUGAGGGUUGUAAAGUACUUUCAGCGGGGAGGCGUUACCCGCAGAAGAAGCACCGGCUAACUCCGUGCCAGCAGCCGCGGUAAUAC